UUGCUGCAAGCUACCAUUUCAAUAAGUUAUUUACACUGAGGGUGGUGAGUCACCCUGGAACAGGUCGUCCACAGAAGCUGUGGCUGCCCCAUCCCUGCAAGCAUUCAAGGCCAGCUUGGGUAAAACCCAGAAGACCUGAGCAGAAUUACAUUGUUGUGAUUCCAGUUUGGUGACAUAGCCCUGAACAACACACUCUGGUGUGAGAUAGGUAUGGAAAAGAAGGCAAGACUAGACUACUGUGAAGCAGACAAGAGUUUUCCUAUUAACAGCAAUAGGUAUCCAGCCUUUAAGUAUAUUAUUGUUUCUCUGUUCUUUCUUGUCUAGCAACUGCAAGCACCAAUACCAUUUUAAUUUGGACUGGAAUACUUAAAACUUUGUCUUUUCAAGGACUGCUAACAUCAGCUACUUUUCCUAAGCAAUGAC